GCUAAACGACAGUGGCCAUCCUGUCUGGGAAUGGGGCAAGGGUGGGGCUCAAGUCCCAUCUUGUCUUAUGUAGGAGUCAGAGGUGCUCCAGAUGACUGUAGGCUGAGAAGUGUACCUGGGAACUGUAUGACCCUUAGAGGACAUCUGGAGAUACGGGAGAAAGAUGUCACAGUCGUCAGGGAAUAGGCUCUAUCCAGAGUCACCCAGCCUACAGCACCUCGAGAGAAACUUGGAAUAGUCACCUACCGUGUCUCCCAUGCUGUGGAAGUCAGUCCUGCCAACUCAACACAGCCUAGAUGAGCCCAAGAGAAGAGUCCCAGAUCAGCAGCUACUUGGAUGAGUUUGGUACUUCUAUGAGAGAUUAUUUCGAUUUUACUAAUUGAGGUGUGAUUUGACAAGCUGCUUCAAGCUCCCAUCACUAUGAAGUCCCUGCAGUGAUGGGCUGUAGCCAAGGAUUAAGGCUCUCUUUAACCCAGUAGUGCUGCUUGGGAUGACUAUGGCUCAACCCACCUCGAUCCAAGCCAGUGCCGACUCAGCAGGCAUGACUGACUUAAAGCAAUGGAAACAGACAAGUAGGCAGAAAAAGGCUUUGGAAAACCCAGUGUCUCUUGGAACCAAAUGAUGUGGUUGUGAGUGACUGGGGUUUUCCCAGCCCUGGUGGAAUGAAGAAACCCAACAUGGAACCC